rfam:Cicer arietinum chromosome Ca8, whole genome shotgun sequence.
CAUUUUCAUUACAAAUGUGACACUAAAAUUUGAAACAAUACAAAGAAGAUUAGCAUGGGUAAUGCACAAGGAUGACACUCACAAAUCGAGAAAAUGUUUGUUUUU